AGUCGCAAUAUUUAUUGAUGGUUUGUUGGAAACCUUCUAUGAAAGUUACAUUAAUUGUGGGAUUAAAGUAGAUGGGUUUAUAGUGCUAUUCCUAAAUAACUAUUACAACUGCUUUAACAUUAAGUUUUAAAAAAUAAACAUAAGAAUUUUAAAUUAUUAUCUUGUCUUUGUUUACUUUCAGAUAUAUUUGGAACUUUUGUAUCAGUGAAUUUCUAAAAUGGGCCAAAUAUCUUUGUUUUCUAAACUGAGUAUUGUUUUUAGAUUGUUUAGCUUUUUAACUACAACAGAUGAUAGAUAUACAUUGCUUGUAUUUUCUUUUUACUUUUUAUGUUGAAGUUUAUAUUUGAUUAACAAAGCUGUUAAAUGUGUACUGGUGUUAAUUUGUGAUAUUGAAGAAAGCAUUCCGUCCUGUGUUAAGCUCAGUUGCACCCUGUGUGUUUGUACAUAUGGUAUUGAGGGAAAUUGCUGUGAUACUUGUUUAUAAUGUGUCCAUUCUGCCUAUUGCUAUCUGUAAAACUAAAUCUGAAUUUAAUAUAUAUAGUUAUGAGUUUCAUUCUUUUUAAUCAAAAUAAGACCAAAGAUGAUUACUUAAAUGAUGUUUUUAGUUUUGAGCUUUAUAUUAAUUUUAAAUUAAUAGUUUGUUUUUUGUUUUAAUUGACAGCACGGUACAUACAACCAUUCCAUGUCUUCAGGUAUAUUGUUUGAAAGAGGUUACAUUUUGAAAAUGUAAGAGCGUUUCAAAAAGAGACAAGGAAUUGCUUGGGUAAUAUUGGCAGCAUUUUAGAAGUGCAUCAAAUGUAUUACUGUUUGUUAGGCAGCAAAGGCGUUGUAUUGUAGUAUUUAUUUUUAUACAUUUUCUUAUUUAUUCACACACAUUUCUAUUUAAUAACGUUUUCAGUAAAUAUUUUUACACAUUGUUGUUGAGAUUAGUGUCAAUAAUGUAAUUCCAGUUAAAAGAAAACUAAUGUUUUAUUAUGUUCACAUAUAUUUUUGAAAUCCUUGUAGAGUCCAUUCACAAAGUGUAAGACAAUUUUACAGUGGUUGCUUUUAUUAUUUUAUCUGUGAUAGAACAAUUACAACAAUGUAAUUAUAGCUUCUAAAAGACAGUCAUUUCCAUGUGAUUAAAAGAUAUUUUACAAAUAACAUUCGUAUAUUUAUUUACGUUUUACAAAGUUUUUCUAGUUAGUUAGAUGUCACAGAAUAAAAUUUAUCUAAUCAAAUUGUAUUGUUUUUUCUGAGUGGUGUUUUAAUAUCUGGCGCAUAUCCAGUCAUCAUGAAUUAACUUAAUGCCACAUGAAAAUUUAAGUAAAUGAAAUAUUCUUUGAUCUUACGUUUAGGGAUAUUUAACUUUAUACAUCGGUUUAAAAAAAUAUAUAUAAUUUUUUAUUUAUAAGCUUCGUCAUAGGAAAAUGGGUCUUAUGCCAUAUGAAACCAGAGUAUGCUCAGACCAGUCUCAAAAGCUAUGCUGUCUGUUUUAAAUCUAUGUAAGGUUUUGUGAUCUUAUAAGGCUUGGCUGGAGCUACACUGGCAUCUAUGUCAUAAGACCCAUGUUCGCAUGAGGCACAGUUCGUAUGUAAACAAUGACUCGUUUUUUAUUAGCUCACCUGUCACAAAGUGACAUGGUGAGCUUAUGUGAGGUGUGAUGUCCAGCAUCCGUCAACAAUUUGUUUGUGUAGACAGUAGAGGUCACAGUUUUCAUCCAAUCUUUAUGAAAUUUGGUCAGAAUGUUUAUCUUGAUGAAAUCUGGGUUGGGAUUGUAUUUGGGUCAUCUGGGGUCGAAAUCUAGGUCACUAGGUCAAAUAAUAGAAAAACCGUGUGUAGACAAUAGAGGUCACAGUUUUCAUCCAAUCUUUAUGAAAUUUGGUCAGAAUGUUUAUCUUGAUGAAAUCUGGGUUUGGAUUGUAUUUGGGUCAUCUGUGGUCAAAAACUAGGUCACUAGGUCAAAUAGAAAUACAUUGUGUAGACAAUAAAGGUCACAUUUUGCAUCCAAUCUUGAUGAAAUUUGGUCAGAAUGUUUAUCUUGAUGAAAUCUGGGUUGGGAUUGUAUUUGGGUCAUAUGGGGUAAAAAACUGAGUCACUAGGUCAAAUAAUAGAAAAACCUUGUGUAGACAAUAGAGGUCACAGUUUUCAUCCAAUCUUUAUGAAAUUUGGUCAGAAUGUUUAUCUUGAUGAAAUCUGGGUUGGGAUUGUAUUUGGGUCAUCUGGGGUCAAAAAGUAGGACAAUAGGUCAAAUAAUAGAAAAACCUUGUGUAGACAAUAGAGGUCACAUUUUUCAUCCAAACUUAAUAAAAUUUUGCCAGAAUGUUAAUCUUGAUGAAAUCUGGGUUGGGAUUGUAUUUGGGUAAUCUGGGGUCAAAAUCUAGGUCACUAGGUCAAAUCAUAGAAAAUCCUUGUGUAGACAAUAGAGGUCAUAGUUUUCAUCUGAUCUUAAUGAAAUAUGGUCAGAAUGUUUAUCUUGAUAAGAUCUGAUUUUGGAUGGUAUAUGGGUCAUCUGGGGUCACCGGGCCAAUUCUUGUAAAACCUUGUGUAGAUGAAAGAGGUCACAGUAUUCAUCACUUCUUAAUGAAAUUUUGUCAGAAUGUAUUAAUUAAUAAAAUCUGGCUUGGGAUUGUAGAUGGGUCUGAGAGAAUUUAAGUUGAUGUAGCAAGGUUAGUCAGGUGAGCGAUUCAAUGCCAUCAUGGCCCUCUUGUUCUUAUUUGUUUUCUUUAUUUUGAUUUAUAAAAAUCAAUGCUUGACGACGACUAAACCCAUGCACUUAUUGUAAAAAAUAAUGAUGGGGAUUUGAAAGUGUGUUCAUGAAAUAUAUUUUAUAUCAUUGAA